UGGCGGCAAUAGCGCGGUGGUCCCACCUGACCCCAUGCCGAACUCAGAAGUGAAACGCCGUAGCGCCGAUGGUAGUGUGGGGUCUCCCCAUGUGAGAGUAGGGAACUGCCAGACA
rnacentral:rRNA from 3 species